rnacentral:rRNA from 1 species
AUGUUGUCGAUGAACGUGUGCUGGCAACUCAAGUUGUCGGGGAAGUACAUGCCCUCCCUCAACAAGCACCUAUGGAUAAUCCUCUUGCCUUCAUCCCCAGUUUCUCCUGAAGAAGGUGAGAUCCUUGUGGAAGUGGAAGAUAUCACAAAGGCUCCUGCUGAAGAAGCCACUAAAAUCACCACUGGGAAAAAUCUUUUCAGGAUGGACAUGGAGGAGGCGCCCAUCAAUGCUGAUGCACCAAACCUCGACACCCAUCCCGUGGCGUCAAUCUUGCAAGCCCUGUCAAGCAGCUUGGAGUUAGUUGUCUCUCAGCACGUGUAUGGAGCCCCCAGUUCAUCUGGUACAGUGGGGAAAAUUUUUGAUGAAGAGAUCGCCCGGAUCCUGCUCCCCCUCACACAAAGAACUACUGAAGCCGCUGACGCCGCCAAUGAUGCUGAAGAUUUCGCAUUCCUGGAGAUCAUGGCUGUUGGUUUCAAGGUUGUCCAAGAGAGGUACAACCGUAGGUGGAGUAGGGUCCAAGAAGAGUGCUAG